rnacentral:rRNA from 1 species
GAUGAACGCUGGCGGCGUGCUUAACACAUGCAAGUCGAACGGAAAGGCCACAGUUUGCUGUGGUACUCGAGUGGCGAACGGGUGAGUAACACGUGGGAGAUCUGCCCUGUACUUCGGUAUAAGCUUGGGAAACUGGGUCUAAUACCGGAUAGGAAUCACAUGUGGGUGUGUGGUUGGAAAGCUUUUGCGGUUUGGGGUUAGCUCGCGGCCUAUCAGCUUGUUGGUGGGGUUAUGGCCUACCAAGGCGUCGACGGGUAGCCGGCCUGGGAGGGUGUACGGCCACAUUGGGACUGAGAUACGGCCCAGACUCCUACGGGAGGCAGCAGUGGGGAAUAUUGCACAAUGGGCGCAAGCCUGAUGCAGCGACGCCGCGUGGGGGAUGACGGCCUUCGGGUUGUAAACCCCUUUCGUCAGGGACGAAGCGAAAGUGACGGUACCUGGAGAAGAAGCACCGGCUAACUACGUG